AAAAUAAUGAAAAAAAUGAUGUGUGGAAACAGAAAUCAGACCUAGAAAAUUCAGUCCCCCAUAAACGAGUUCUUUGGGUUUUGGAGAUAAAUAUGGCUGUAAAAAGAGUACUCUCAGUGGUCUUGACUUUUUGAUGUGUAGGGAAUACUUAAAAAAAUCUGGUUUAGGUUUAGUUUAUGAGGAUUUUCUCCCUCACGAAUAUAACUCUAUGCUUCCUUUCAGCAUUUGAAGUGAAGAUGGAGCCCUUAGGAGAAAUAUAUUGUAGCUCAUUUAUGAAGAACUUUCAUUUUAUGUCCUUCCUGAGUGAAGGAGAAACUCUCUGGAGCGCUUUCAGUGAGAGUUCACCUUCCCAUAGGCAGACAACAAGUAAACCAACAUGAUGAUUUCAGAUAGUGGUAAGUUCUCUGAAGAAGUAAACCUGGAAAGGGAAUCAAGAGUGAUGGUGGGCACAGGUGUGGGGGGACACUUUUUGAGAUAGGGUGAUCCCUCAGGGCAGGUCUCUCAUAGUCUCUGAAACAUCAGACUUGUAGUCCUUUUACUUGCAAAUAGUCCCUUCCGGGUGUCAUCAUGCAGUGAGCUGGGGAGGUGAUUAUAUCUGUGUGCUGAGGCCAGAGGUAUCAUCCUCUCAAUAAUUUCAGUUCAGUCAUUGGCAUGAAAAAGGAAGGAGACACUGUUGAUUUCAGGAAGAAAAAUGGGCUUGACUUUUUUCUGUAGAGAAAUUAUUGAUGUUUCCAGUGGCCUCUUCUGC
rnacentral:lncRNA from 1 species